GGCGAGCGAACGGGGAGCAGCCCAGAGCCUGAAUCAGUGUGUGUGUUAGUGGAAGCGUCUGGAAAGGCGUGCGAUACAGGGUGACAGCCCCGUACACAAAAAUGCACAUGCUGUGAGCUCGAUGAGUAGGGCGGGACACGUGGUAUCCUGUCUGAAUAUGGGGGGACCAUCCUCCAAGGCUAAAUACUCCUGACUGACCGAUAGUGAACCAGUACCGUGAGGGAAAGGCGAAAAGAACCCCGGCGAGGGGAGUGAAAAAGAACCUGAAACCGUGUACGUACAAGCAGUGGGAGCACAGACAAUCUGUGUGACUGCGUACCUUUUGUAUAAUGGGUCAGCGACUUAUAUUCUGUAGCAAGGUUAACCGAAUAGGGGAGCCGAAGGGAAACCGAGUCUUAACUGGGCGUUAAGUUGCAGGGUAUAGACCCGAAACCCGGUGAUCUAGCCAUGGGCAGGUUGAAGGUUGGGUAACACUAACUGGAGGACCGAACCGACUAAUGUUGAAAAAUUAGCGGAUGACUUGUGGCUGGGGGUGAAAGGCCAAUCAAACCGGGAGAUAGCUGGUUCUCCCCGAAAGCUAUUUAGGUAGCGCCUCGUGAAUUCAUCUCCGGGGGUAGAGCACUGUUUCGGCAAGGGGGUCAUCCCGACUUACCAACCCGAUGCAAACUGCGAAUACCGGAGAAUGUUAUCACGGGAGACACACGGCGGGUGCUAACGUCCGUCGUGAAGAGGGAAACAACCCAGACCGCCAGCUAAGGUCCCAAAGUCAUGGUUAAGUGGGAAACGAUGUGGGAAGGCCCAGACAGCCAGGAUGUUGGCUUAGAAGCAGCCAUCAUUUAAAGAAAGCGUAAUAGCUCACUGGUCGAGUCGGCCUGCGCGGAAGAUGUAACGGGGCUAAACCAUGCACCGAAGCUGCGGCAGCGACGCUUAUGCGUUGUUGGGUAGGGGAGCGUUCUGUAAGCCUGUGAAGGUGUACUGUGAGGUAUGCUGGAGGUAUCAGAAGUGCGAAUGCUGACAUAAGUAACGAUAAAGCGGGUGAAAAGCCCGCUCGCC
rnacentral:rRNA from 1 species